CGACUCUUAGCUCAAUUGGAAGAGCGUCUGCGUGAAGAGCAGAAGGCUCCUGGUUCGAUCCCGGGAGAGUCGG
rnacentral:tRNA from 1 species